AAAACAUUAGAAAAAUCACAUCUUGAGAGCAGGAAGCUCGAGAGUGAUUCUGGGAUCAGGUCCACUCUUUGCUUUUAUAAACUUUUAUUGGCACAUUAUAAUCAUACAUUAUAGUGGGACUCAUGAGAAAGAAACCAUAGUGGGGUUCAUACAGUGGGAUCGACUCCUUCCUGGGUGCUUCCCUCUCCUCCCUCCCGCCCCAUCUGCUGCUCUGCUCUGCUGAUCUCCCCUGUACUAGCACCACUGGCUCCACUGGCUCCUCACACUCACACACAAGCAGGCUCAUGGCGGCUCAUGCACACGCGGUUCCUCUACAUUUCCCAGGCCGCCCGCCUCCCUCCCCUGCUCAGUUGGUCUCCCUUCUAUUUUCAGGCAAUCCCCCUUUUAAAAAUUCCCUUUCCCCCUUUUUCUAACUUCUGCCUAUGAGAGAACCUCGGACCCUGGACUUCCUGAGUCUGGCUUAUUUCACAGAGCAUCAUGGUCUCCAGGUCCAUCCAUUUCCCAGCAAAUGUCAUGAUUCCAGUCCUCUGUAGGGCCACUGGGCACAUGCACCACGGCCACCACAGCAUCUGUGUCCGUUGAUCUGCUUAGAGCACCUAGGUGGUUCCAUAGCUGGGCUGUUAUGAAUUGCACUGCUAUAAACAUGGAUGGGGCUGCAUCACUCUAGGAGGCUUUGGACAAAUAGUAGGAGUAGGGCAGCUGGGGCAUGUGGUAGUCCUCACACCUAGGCUUUGGAGGAAUCUCCGCACUGCUUUUCAGAGCACUUGCCCUGAUCUGCAGUCCCACCAGCAGUGGAGGAGUGCACAUUCUCCCGCAUUCUCUGUCACUCUUUACUAUUGCAUCCUUGACAGCUGCCAUUCCGACUGGGGUGACAUGGGAUCUCAGUGCAGUUUUGAUCUGCAUCUCCCCGAUUGUCAGAGCAGGGGACGGGGGCGGGGGGAGCCUUAUUUCUGUUAAUUGCUGCAGGAGCUCAGGGGUCCCAGGAGAGCUGUCUUAUCCCUAGGCUAAACUUCUUUCUUCUUCUCUCUCUCUCUCUCUCUCUCUCUCUCUCUCUCUCUCUCUCUCUCUCUCCAUCCUUCCUUCUUUCCUUUCUUUCUUUUCUUCUUUUCAUGCCAGAGAUUGAACCCAGGAGUGCUUAAGCACCAAGCCACAUCCUCAGCCCUUUUUAGUUUAUUUUGAGGUAGGCUCUCUCUAAGUUGCUAAGGGCCUCACUAAGUUGCUGAGGCUGGCUUUGAACAUGUGGUCCUUCUGUCUAAGCCUCCCAAAUCACUGGGAUUAUAGGCAUGUACCACUGUGCCCAUCCCAGGCUAAACUUUAAAUUAACUGUCUCAAUUUUUUAAUAUGUAUGCCCUUGAAAUAAAGUCAAAAUACACCAGGCAGAGACAUACAGAACUGCCCAGGACAAUGAAGAAUCCACAGUUACACUGGGAGGCUUCAGCACAACUGUGUCAGUACUGAGACCUCACAGCAGAGAAGCAGACAGGAAGUCUUCACAGGCCUUCAGCCAACACGAAGCACACAGCCUUGUCAGGUCAGAGCAAGACCCCCCCAGGACAGGCCACAUUCUAAGCCAUAAACCACACCCCAGCAAAUGUGCAACACCAGUGAAAUCCCAAGUGUGCUCAAAGAAUAUGGGAGAUAAAGCAGAACCCAGACCAGAAGCAGCUAGAAAGUGUCCAGGCAAUGGAAGGGGAAACUGGGCUCUAAACAGACAUGGGUGGAAGAGGGAACUCAAGGGAAAAGUCUACCAUUUCUAGGGAAAUGAAAUGUAAAAGGGCAUCUUAUGAAAUCUGCAGAAAACAGCACAGGUGGUUCUUCAAGGGUGUGUAAGUCAUCCUAAGCACAUUUCAGAAAAGAAGAGGUAAAAGCAAUUAUUGAACCUUCCACUUCAGGAAACCAGAGAAAUAAGAGCAAGGUAAACCUAAAUUAAACACAGGAAAGUAAUUAAUAGAGAAAGUGCUGAUGAAAUUGCAAUCAUGAAACUCGCAGCAGUCUGCAAAAUCAAGUUCUUCAUGAACAUCAGCAUCACUGAUAAAUUGAUAUGAGGCUAAGAAAACAGAGGACAGGGGUUGGGAUUGUAGCUCAGAGGUAGAGCACUUGCCUAGCACAUGUGAGGCACUGGGUUCUAUCCUCAACACCAUAUUAAAUAAAUACAUCAAUUUGUUAUUUGGAAUAAAUAAAUAUAAUAAAGGUAUAAAUAAUACAAUAAUAUUGAAGAAAAAAGAAAACAGAACAGAGAAACUACUAAUUACAAUUAAAAGUGCAAUUGCUAUGAAUCCACGUGCGAUUCAAGACUAUCAGGAACAUCAGUUUGACACAAAUUAGAUAAAUUAGAGGAGCUGGACCAAUUCUUUGAGAGAGACAAUCUCCUACAACUUACACACAAGGAGAAGUGUGCAAAACAGAUGAGCCCAUGCCUGUGGAAAAAAUAGAAUCAGCAAUUAAUUACUAUACAAAAAAAGGAAAGACAGGGGCUGGGGCCGGGGCCCAGUGGCAGCGCUCUUGCCUCGCCUGUGUGAGACCCUGGGUUUGAUCCUCAGCACCACAUAAAAAUAAAUAAACAAAAUAAAGAUAUUGUGUCUAUGUAUAACUAAAAAAAAAUAUUUUAAAAAAGGAAAGACAAGGCUCCAACAUCUCAUACAGGCUCCCAUAAAAUACUUAGGAGUUGCCACCAAUUUUCAGAAGAGUAAACACCUCCCUAUUCAUUCUGAGGCAUAGGUUACCAUAUUAUCAAAAUUAAAUAGAAAAAUAAGAAAACUAUGAAUUACUCUUAUGAUCAUGAUCAUAAAUGCAAAAUUCCUGCACAAACAUUACAUAAUUGAGUCAAAAAAUAAAUAAAAAGAAUUGUACACCAUGACCAAGAGGGAAUUAUUACAGCUAUGUAAGACUGAUUCAAAAUGUAAAAACCAUUUAAAUUUAUCCAUCACAACAAAAACCCAAAUAAUAAAUGAAAUGCUUACAUCAAUAGUUAAAGAAAGAGUCAAGAAUAAAAAAAAAAAAAGGCUGGGGGGAGCUGGGGCUGGGGCUCAGUGGUGCAGCACUUGCCUGCAUGUGUGAGACACUGGGUUCCAUUCUCAGCACCACAUAUAAAUAAUAAAAUAAAUGUCUACCAACAAUUAAAAAGAUAUUUUUAAAAAAGAAUGAUAAAAAAAGCACUCGAGCUUAGAAAAACCCAAAUGUCUUUAUGGAGAUGCAGCAUUGUCCUCUACUGUAUGUGGAAUGCACCAGAGAAUCAUGAAAAUCAACAAGAUGACAUCGGGGUUGUAGAACAUAAGGCUAAUAAAUAGCACUAUUGUUAUACUGAUGACAGCAGCAAGCUGGGCCCGGAGGCCAUGCCUGUGAUUACUGCCACUCAGGGGGCUGAGGCAGGAGGAUCACAACUUUGAGGCCAGCCUGGGCAAUUUAGCAAGACUCUGUCUCAAAAUAAAAACAUAAAAAGGACUGGGGAUGUAGCUUGAUGGUAGAGCAUCAGUGAAUUCCAAAGAAGUACAAAAAACAAAAAAACAAAAUACCACACACCACUUAUAUAGCACCAAGAAAAUUAAAAAAGAAAUACUCAUAUAUAAACCUGACAAGAAUUUGUACGACAAAAACUGCAAACUUCUAAUGAGAGUGUCAAAGAUAAGGUGAAUAUAUGGAGAUGUUUUCUGUUCAUACAUAGGAAGCCUCAGUAUUAUCAAUUGUUACAAAUUUCAAUUGUGGAUUCAAUAAAAUCCCAACUCUUUUAAGUUAUGUUUUCAGUAAUGAAAGACCCAGAAGAACCAACACAGUCAUGAACACUAAAUUCGCAGGACCUUAAAAAACCUGGGGUUAAGAACUACUAAAAAGCUACAAUCCUUGGACAGAAUGGUUUUUGCACAAUAUAAAUACAGUCGACUGAUCUUCAACAAAGGAAAAUUGAUGGAAAGACUCUUGGAAAACAUUGCCAAAGCACCUGGACAUUAACAUGCAAAGAAAGGAAUUACACUGACUUUACAAAAGUCACAAAGUCAGCUGCCAGUGGAGCAUCAGUCAAAAAGUAGGCUCUAGCACAACACCCACCUAGAACAUAGAAGAACCUGGUUAACUUCCCAGAACCAAAAAAAAAAAAAAAUGCCUAUACAUUCUAAAGCCAAAUACAAAAUUUAGAACUUCACAAAAAUAACACAGAAGUACUUACAAAUCUGAGUUCAGCAUGAUGGCUUCAUAUGCAACAUCAAAAACAUGAUCUGUGAGUGAAACACUGGUAAAUGGAACUUUAUUGAAAUGAAGUUUCUGUUUUUCAAAAAAUACGCUUAAGAGGAUGAGAAGACAAGCUGGAGAACUGGACAAAAUGUUUUCAAAGCACAUAAUGACACUGGACUGAUAUUCGAAAUACAUGAAAAACACUCAAUAAGAAAGCAAGCAAGAAGAUCUGGAAAGAUACUCAUCCAAUAAAUACAGACAGUAAAUACGUGUGUGAGAAGAUGUUCACCAGCACAUCAUUAGGAAAUUGCAAAUUAAACAAUGAGGUACCACCAUGUACCCACUGGAGGGGCCACAUGCCAAACACUGACAGCACCGAAAGAUGGUGAAAGCGUGAAUCAGAAGAACUCUGUUCUUGCUAAUGCAAGAAAAGCUCCUUUGGAAGACAGUCUGUCAUGCUCGUACAAAGUACGCACCACACACUCUACUAUUAAGUCAUCACACUCCCAGGUGUCUACCCAAAAGAGAUGAAAAUUAUGUGCACAGAAAACCUCACAGCAGUGACUACAGCAGCCAUAUCUAGAAGUACCCAAAGCUAGAAGGAAGACGGGAGGAGGAUGAACAGGGGGAGCCACAGGAUCCCAGGGCAGUGAAACUCUUCUGUAUGACAUUAUGCAGAAUACGUGACACACACAAUCACACUACACAGAGGAGGACCCUAAGGUAAAGUGUGGACUUCAGCUGAUGAUAACAUGUUGCUUCGUCCACUCUUUUCAUCAAAUGUAGGAUACUGGUUCAGUAACUAACAAACAUACUACACCAAUGCAAGAUGUUGAAAACUGAGGACACUAGAAGCUGGAGAGAAGGGGUGUUGGAUACUAUGUGUAAUGGUUCAUUUGAAUUAUCACCUUGAUUGAAUUAAGAGAUGCUGAUGAUUAAGAGGCUUCUGGGUGUGUCCACCAGGCUGUGUCUAGGAAUGAUUGGCAUGUGGGAUAGGGAACUGAAGUGGAGACCUUCCCUAAGCAUGGGCAGCACCGUCCAAUAGGAUGGUAGGUUGGAUAGAAUAAAAGUUGGAAGAGUAAGAAGGUAGCAGCAGAUGCAAGCUGGAUUCUUCUCAAAUAUUCCUGAUUGCUGCUCUGCUCACUUGAGGAUAUUAGACUCUCCCUUCUUCAUGCUUCCAAAGUGGACUCUGCCAGUGAUUCUCCAGAAGCCUUGGGUUUCAGACUAGGUAGCACCAUGAUCCCUCUUGCUCUGAGGCUUCAGCCUCUUGGACUGUGCAGUUACUGGUUCUCCAGCUCUUCAGCCUGCAGAUGGCCGUUAUGGACUAUCCAAUUUCUGGUGGAGUAAGCCAAUCUAGUAAAUCCCCUUUUUGGAAUCAUACUUCCUGUUGAUUCUGUUCCUCUAGAGAACCCUGACUAAUACACAAUAUAAGACUAGAAAAGAAAAAAAAGGAAAAAAUCACUCUGAAAAUGAAGCCUUGAAUAAACGCUGUGCCAUGGAGUUUUCGCAGACAUAUACAAUAUCACACACUGAGUACCUUUUCCAGAAUAAUACAAGACUAAAGUAAAAAGGAAGAGUCAUAGAUACAAAUUUCAAAACUAUGGAGGAAAGCAAGGAAACUAAUUUUCAAUACUGUUUCCAUUUAGAGAGAAAUAGGAUGAUUUAUCUUUAAAAGUCAUUCCAACUGCUGGUGUGGUAGUGUGAACCUGUAAUUUCACAAUGAGGGAGAUCGAGACAGGAAGAUGGCAAGUUUGAGGCCAGUCUUGGAAACUUAGCAAGACCCUCAGAAAUUUAGUGAAACUUGGUCUUAAUCAAAAAUAAAAAUGGGGGGACUGGGGCUGUCUCUCAGUAGCAGAGCACUUGCCUACCAUGCAUGAGGCAACUUCAAUCCUUAGAACCACAUAAAAUUAAACAAAAUAAAGGUAUUCUGUCCAUCUACAACUACAAAAAGGUUAUAAAUAAAUAAAAAGGGUUGGGGAUGUGCUCAGUGGUCAAGUGCCUCCGGGUUUAAUCCCCAGUCAAACACCCACCCACCUCCAAAAUCCUUUCGCAAAGUUGAAAGGAAUUUCUGGAGGAUAACAUGAGCAAGUUUCAGAUGAGCAAGUCCCUGGCUUCAAUCCUUCACAAUAAAUAAGUAAAUCAAUAAAAAACAGUCUAUAAAACUAAUUUUAUUGGGUUGGGUAGUAGCUCCGUAGUACUGCACUUGCAAGCAUGCAUGAGGCCCUGCAUUCAAUCCCCAGCAGUUCACACAUACACAAAAAUAAUUAAACUAAAUACAUCUAAUGGGUGAUAAAAAUGAUUAUAAUAGAAAAGGUACACAGUGAGAGGUAUAAAAUACAAUGAAAUCAAUGGAAAGACAAAACACUUUCUUACAAAUGAGACUGAACAUCCCAUGAUCUACACUCUCUGAAAACACACCAAGCAUUUUAGUAAAUUCUGUAAAAUUCAGGGCCAGUUUUGCUGUGCAUGUUGGUGAACUUAAGAAAAACUACUUCUAAAAGUGGAAAUAGUAGGCCAUAUCUAAGACUAGCCAAAAUAUCAUAGAGAACACAGCGAGUGUAGACAAAGUAUUUAUAUAACUCCCAAGUUUCUUAAGCUAAAAGGCCGGAUCUCAACAGGGGCCCUAGGAGGAGGCAUUUGGGAGGAAACAGGAAUUAGAUGAGAUUGUGGGAGUGCUCAUGAAGGGGACCAGCACUCUUAUUUAGAAACAGGUGUCAUUUACUAUUUUAAAUCAUUUACUGAUUAAAUGAUCACAGGUAUUGCCCAGAUUGUCCUUAAAAUUCAUCAUGAAGCUAGGGGUGGUGGCACAUACCUGUAACCCCAGUGGCUCAGGGGUCUGAGUCCUAAAUAUCUUAGCAAGACCCUUUAUAUAUAUAAAUUUAUUUUUUGGUUUUUUAAGUUGGACAUAAUAUCUUUAUUUAUUUAUUUUUAUGUGGUGCUGAGGAUCGAAUCCAGGGCCUCACAUGUGCUAGGCAAGUGCUCUACCCCUGAGCCACAACCCUAGCCCCUAGCAAGACCCUUUCUCAAAACAAAAUAUUUAAAAGGGGCUGGGGAUGUGGCUCAGUGGUUAAGCACCUCUGAGUUCCAUUCCUGAUACCAAAACACCACACAGUUAACAUGAACCUGCCAAGUCCAGACAACAACAGUGAGCUCUCAUCCCCUGUCACAUUCUCCACCUUGUAAACUGAUGUUUCCGUGGAUCCUCAUUGAUAAAUUUAUCCACCACUUUUCUUGUAAACAUGGAUUCAUGUUCCACAGCAAUAAUGCAAGAUGGAGUUUUUCUGUUUCUUAAGUGGAUUCUGGAGUCUAGGACCUGAAUUUCAAUUUGAAAGCACUGAAAAGACAAGACCGAAUCUCAGAAACUUUCUGACAUACUCAGGGGUAGCAAAAGGUGAAUUAGGAUUUUGUUUGUCUGUUUUAUGUUUUUUGGUACCAGGAUUGAACCCAGAGGCACUUUACCCUGAGCCACAUCUCCAAUACUUUUUAUAUUUUAUUUUGAGACAGAGUCUCACCAAGUUGCAUAAGGCCUCAUAAGUUGCUAAGGUCGUUCUCAAAUUUGCAAUCCUCCUGCCUCAGCCUCCAGACAGCAAGGAUUACAGGUGUGCACCACUGCACCUGUCUAUAAAUUAGGAUUUUUGACAAAUGGAAAUAUAACUAGAUUUUUAAUCCACUUUUCCUUGCCUCUUUAAUAAUUUCAUCAUAUUUGACUCUGAAUAAAUAAACCUGAGCCUCAAAUAAGUGAGCAGAUCAUUUCAGUGAUAAACAGAAAGGGCUGGUGCUGAGGGAGCACCGACAUGUCAGACUCAAGGGGCAGGUAAGGUCCCUACCAGCUGGACAUCUCCCACCUGGUCCUUCUCACUGAAACACUCCAUGAUCACCCUCCCAGGAGACCUGGACCAUGACUCCAGUCUACGAGGCUUUCAGGUUUGCACAGCACUGCACUGGGGUGGGUGGUCCUUAUGCUCUGGGAGAGUUUUCCUCCUUCACAACUGUGAGAGACUGCAAGGGCAGGAAUCACUGCUGACCUGGCCCCUCAGCACCAGCAUCCACAGGCUCACUGUCCACCUGUCUCCAAGGGAUGGGAACAGGGCUUGGGGGAGACGAUGUCCCAAGGAGGUAGCUCUCUAGAUGAGGCCUGUUCCAGAAGAUUCCUCAGCCCCAGGGCCUCCAGUUGCUCCCCUGAGAGGCUGCAACCUACACCUUGGGCUGUCCUCUAGGAGAAGCUGAUCCAGGGCCUGAAAUUCCCUGCACCAUGCAGGGCACAAGGCAUGUGUGGGCACUUGUGGCAGCCCCAGGAAAGGAUAAUGACUGGGGACAAGGGUCCCUAGGAGGUGUCCAAAGGAAACCUCUGCCCAAGAAAUUCUGAUACAGUGUCUGUAUUUGGAAUCUGUGUAAAUGGUCAGAGACUUCCCCUUAGCUAGGGUUGGUGCUUGGUUAGAGCUCUGAGUUCUGCCUGUGGGUUGGGGUGUUAGGAGGUGAGGGGCUAGCCUCCAUCAGCUCUAUGGCCAUGGUGACAGUGCAGCCUGCUAUUCAGAGGCCUUCAUAGGAAAAGGAGCUCCCAUCCCGAACCAGGUGUAGGAGGGUCCUUCCAGAAUAUGGGAGGGAUGGGGAGUAAUUGUUCUUUAGUCUCUAUGCAGGAAUGGAGAGGCUGAUGAGAAUCCAUGUCCCUGGGAGGAGGAGGCAGAGUAGAGGGAUUGAGGGGUGGACACAUUUUGAAGGUCACAGUGGGGUCCACAUCCUUUCCCUCAGUCCAUGAGACCUGGAGGGAAAGGAUAUGGAAGUGGCAGUGUCUAAAGACCCGCAUAGGAGAGUGAUUCAGUUCAGUGGUGGGGAGAGGACUGUCAGAGGUGACCCAGAUGUCAGUUUCCUUGACUCCUGGAUUAGGAUGGCUGAGGAGACCAGUACCUGAAGGCAAGGUGCCCAUCCCCAUACUGCUAGGCAAGGCAUCUUGAGAGAAAUGCCACUGCUACAAAGGAUGGUCCCAACUGGUGGCCUCGUGCCUUCAGGGCAGAUCCUUGGUUUUCUGUUACUUAUAGAAAAAGGUGUGGGAUGGUUCAGGCAAGUGAAGGGCUGGGGCCCGCAGGAGGGCUCUGGAGGGCCUGAAAGGGGGUGUUGACGGGUGUGAUGAGGGGCUCUUUGUGGGGGCCUUUGUGGUAUGGUAAAGGGGUCGGGCCAGCAGAGCAUGGUUGGGCAUCCAAGCCCUAAGGAAUCCUGUUAAUCUCAGAAAUGAGAGUACUUCAGCCUUGGUAGUGGGAGCAGAAGGGGAGAAAUGAGGUUUUCUGCUCCCUCGUAAUGGCCUUGUGGGAUGGGGUCAGUUGGAAGCCCAUGACGGUGGGAAGUGAGAGCUGGACCUUAGAGAGUGGGUCCUAAGUGUGAUGUGGACGGGAUCUUGGCGUGUGGCUACAGAGGGGUUGUGUAUGUCCCAUACCCGAGGAUUGAUCAAGGAUGGGGGUAAGGGUGUUAAUGAGGGAGUAGUUGUAGGUGAUAGGAGGAGGAGGAGUGGGAGUGGCGACAAGUCCGGGAAAGAGCCCUGCAUAGGAAGAUAAAGGAAAUGGAUGAACCUAAUUUACUUAAAAGGCCUCAACCUAGUAAGGGAGUAGGGCAUUAGGGGAUGAUGAGGAAAGAGUGGGACAAAGGGAUCUCGUGAAUGGAGCAUGUGAGAAGUGGGUCUUUAAUGGUUGGUACGGUUUGCCUUCUACCCUGACAAUGGAGGUCGUGGAGGUAGAGGUGGGUCCCCCAAAUUGGACAAGUACCAAAAAUGAAGCCCUGGUGUCCAGAAGAAAAAAAGAUGGGCCUAUCUGCUACCACAAUGAUUACCCUGGGUUCCCGUGUUUUGCUGGUGGUCAUCGGGUGUCAGGACCCCAGGCCUCAUCAGUCAUCUGUAACUAGGCCCGGAAGGUCUGCCUGCAGUGUGGUGGAAUCAUAUGACCUCCUGACUCUCUGGGCAAGAGGGAAAUUGACAGCCCAGUGAUCCUCCUUGUGGCUUUUGGGACAAGGACAGGAGGUUUGUGAGGAUUAGGGCAGGCACUGGCCCAAUGGCCCAAUUGACCACAUUCAUAGCAUGAACCAGUAGGUUUUCCAGUGGUCGAUUGUUGAAAUGCUUUGACUAUGAUUUGGUACUUGACCUUGCGGGCCCUUCAUCUCCACCAUUGUACACCUUGAAGGCUACUUCAAGUCCCUGGGCCUGCGGGGUGAGGGGACUUGCUCUAGCUUCUCAAGUUCAGCUUUAAGGUCAGGGAAACUUUGGGAGAAGAAGUGGGUCACAAGUAGGUCUGGCUGUCAGGUGACUCAGGGUCUCAAUUGGUGUAAUGGAGCAGGUGGGUCACAAGUAGGUCUGGUGUCAGGUGACUCAGGAUCUCGAUUGGUGUAUUGGGGCAGGGCCUGAGUCAGGCGGUUUAGAAAGGAAGAGGGGUUGGGCUGGGCUGUAUCUCCGUGGCAGAGUGCUUGCCUCACACGUGUGAGGCACUGGGUUAGAUCUUCAGCACACAUAAAAGUACACAAAUAAAAUAAAAGCAUGCUAUCCAUCUACAACUGCAAAUUUUUUUUAAAGGAAAAUGAGUUUUCAUUUUUAUCCGGAAUGACCUCUUGGAGUUUAUCAUAAUUGACGGCUUUAUGAGCUGUCCUUUUUAGACCUGCCAGUAAGCAGGUGGUGAACUGGUCUCUUCUUGUUCAGCCCCCAGAGGAAUUAUAGACCCAGGUGGGGUCUUGGUCAGGGACUGCUUCAGUGCCGAUGGGGUGGGCAGGGUAGUUUGGUGGACUUCAUUGGCGUAAUUGUGGGCUUGUUCUCAGACCCAUCUCUGCUCCUCUGGGAGGAGGGUGUAGGAUAAGAUCAUGUGCCUGUCAUGAAAGGUAAGGUCAUAGGCUUGUGUUGUGUUUGUAGUUCUUUGGUACAUGUGGCAGAGGUGAAGGUAAAGGACCCCAGGCACUGUUCAAUUUGAGAGAGAUCACUGAGAAGGGCACAGAACUCUAACAACCCCCUAGACCCAGCGACCUCACAGAGAGGGAGUAAAGGGGCAGGUUCCUGGGCAGCUGUGUGAGGUUGAGUGAUGGGGACUGGGGGUGGGUGGGAUGGUAAUGUAGAGGGAACAGGUGGUUUUGGUGAGGCUUGCUAAGGUGGGGUCUCAUCAUUGGGGUUGAAUGAGGGUUCGGGGUCCUUUGUGUAGGAGUAGGGUCUUUCGAGAAAUCUGGAGCCUUGGUGGUAAGUAAAAGCUGAGCGGGGAGCAAGAAGAGCAAAGGGAAGGCUUAGAGUAAAGAGAAGAGAAAGCCUGCCACUAGGGGCUCUCCUCCACUUACCCAAGUGUCACAACAGUGUAAAGACUCUGUAAAAUGUUGGGAUCAAAGGUGCCAUUAGGUGGCCAUUUAGAUCCACUUAGAUCAUGAAAGGGCUGUGACUGGGUGGAAAGUUGAACAGCUGAUAAGCCCUUAGAUUUGGAGCCAAACAAAUCAGAACUAAGUGGGUGAGAAGGCAGCUGAGAGGUAAUAUGGAAUUUUGGAUUGAGGGUCCCCAUGGCGAGUUUUUAGUGUGGAGUGGCUAGGGCUAGGCAUGCCCAGCUCUAGACCAAACCAGAAUAAAGAGGGGACAGCAGUGAAGGGGGACCAUCAUCACACGAUUCACUGCCCCAUGCUAAAGCCUUUCUGGGACUGAGAGAAGGGUGUCAUCGCCCACCACUUCACUAGUCCCAGGCAAAAAGCUUCAAGAGUGCCUGGACCUAGGGCUUUUGUGGCUCUCCCGGGGAGCAACCUACAGAGAACCAAGACCCUAGCUGGAACUCGACUCCCAGAGCAGACUCACCAGGAUUCAGGGAAGGUAAAGGCAGGGUCACUCACCCAAAUACCCCUGGUGUGUGGAUGUAGGCGGGCACUCCAUGGAUGGAAGGGGGUGUGUGGUGAUUGUCCUGGGCCCUGAAGCAGCUCAGAUCCCCAGAGGAGAGAGCAAGAUCAACAGGAGGGCCUGGAUCCCAGGCACAGCCCCAUUGAAUGGCAACUGGUGCAAGACUGAUCACACAAGCACAUCAGAGGCAAAGGCAAAGGCUGACAGGCCGUCUUCCACAGAGAGGUCAGAGCAGCUUCCUCUCAAGAGUUCCUUUAAUAGGCAAGGUCAUGGUGGUGGGCGGGAGGAGUUCCUUUAGUGGCAGGGUUAGUCUUUGUGGUUGGUACAGUAAGCAUCACCUGAAUUUGUGGAAAGCAAAUUACUAUUUCUCAAGAACAGAAAUGGGAAAGUUUCUAUUUCUCAAGAACAGAAAUGGUAGUUAUUUCUUAAUAGGAACAUUAGUUAUAAAUGAGGUUGGGUGAAAGUAAGAUGGCUGUAGCUAUGCCAAUAAUCACUCAGAGAGGCUGAGGCAGGAGAGACCCAAGGUUCAGGUCAGCAUCUGCUAACAGUGAGACCCUGUCUUAAAAAUAAUCAUAAAAAGGGUUGGUGACCUAGCUCAGAGGUAUAACCCCACUGGUUUUAAUCCCCAGUACCUCAGAGAAAGAGAAAGAUUAGAGAUAUAGAUAUCUUGAGAUAUAGAGAUAUAGACAUACAGAUAUAUGGUAUAUGGUAUCAGCUGGGGUGACCUCAGGCAACUUAGCAAGUCUCAACAUUGUUGAAACAAGUUUAAGAUAUCAGAUAUAUCACACAUAUGAUAUCUAUAAAUGAAAACAAUUUGACAAUUAUUUUAAUAAUUCUCAUCACCCCCUGGCCUCUGCUCUUUAUACUGAUCUAUGAAAGGAAGCAAUUGGUGUUGGUGCCUUGGCUCAGUGUCCCAUCCCCAGCAGAAGGCGGGUGGGGGGAAGGAGGCAAUCCUCUAGGACAGCAAGGUGCAGUGGAAAUAAAUUGGGUGCCUGUGCUUCAUAUUGAUGUUCCACAUUCUACUAUUAGGGAGUCCUAGGCAGUGGCCUGACUCUGGCGAUCCCACAGGUCAGGUCAGCUGUUUACCCCAAAACCAAACAGAAAAGGUCAUGAUGAAAAGCAGGAAAGGAACUUUGACCAGUACAGCUGCUCCAGGAAGACAAGGGAACCCUGUCCUUAGCCCUGUCUUCAGGGGCUGACAAGGACUUUGAGGUUUUAUAGAAAGAGUGAUCAUAGGCAGGUAUGUAUGGGAAGCACUCUAGGUAGGGUUUGCUGUUAUCUGUGGCUUCAGGCAUCCGUGGAUCCAUGGAUCCCAUAACAUGUCUGUGAGCUCAUGCUCAUUUGUCUCCUUGACACCCAUCACUCCAUUGCACAGUCUGACCUCACUUGGUCCCUCAGGAGAGUCCCCCUCUCAUGUGUUCUUCCCAUGUCAGUCGUUCAGAGACACCUACAUUAAAAAAAAAAAAAACCCACAAACCCACCUGCUCCUGCCUGGAAAGCAACAUACCCCCAGAUGCUAACCCAGUGUUCUCAGCUUCCUGGGUUUCAACUGAUAGUCAAACCAGAAAGAAACAAAAACCCUGCUCAGCUCUGCCCAUAGAGCCUGCAUAUAAACCCCAAACAUUUAUCACUCAGGGCCAAUAUGGCCUGUGGUGCCGUCCAUUAUCCCCCUCUUGGAAAGUAAAAGAAAAAUAAAUAAAUAAAUUGCUUUUAAUGUAGAUUUUGUGAAGUCUUUCACAUCCUACAACUGGCCCAAAUUCAUUUUACCUAACAGUAUCACCAUGGACAAGGUGGGCUAAUGUAUAAAGAGCCAUAUUCUCACACAUGUGAAAAAGUAGCUGCACUACAUCAAUGUUCAUAGCAGCACAAUUCACAGUAGCUAGACUGUGGAACCAACCGAGAUGCCCUUCAAUAAAUGAAUGGAUAAAAAAAUGUGUCAUUUAUACACAAUGGAAUAUUACUCAGCACUAAAAAAUAACAAAACCAUGUCAUUUGCAGGGAAAUGGAUGGCAUUAGAGCAGAUUAUGCUAAGUGAAGCUAGCCAAUCCCUAAAAAACAAAUGCAGACUGUCUUCUUUGAUAUAAGGGGGGGCGACUUAAAACAGAGCAGGGAGGAAGAGCAUGAGAAGAAGAUUACCAUUAAAUAGGGUCGAGAGGUGCGUGGGAAUGGGAGUGAGAAGGGGAAUUGCACGGAAGAUGGUAGGAGACCCUCAUUGUUAUGCAAAAUUACAUAUAAGAUGGUGUGAGGGGGAAGAAAAAAGAGAGAAACGAGUCACUGCAGAUGGAAAGUGACAAGAAGUGAAUGCACAAUAGCACCAACAGCCCGUGCAUGUGGCAGAUCCAAAGUGAAAGCAAAAAUAAACAAAAUGUGGAAAAACCUCCAUGCACCAGCAAUGUCUUAUAUUAAGCUGCAGAGUUAAGCAUCAGAGGGCACAUUUUCAGGAGAGAAAAUGGCAACUAGUUACAAUAGAGGUGUGAUUUUUUUUGUGGGAGGGGGAUACCAGGGAUUGAACCCAGGAGCACUCAACCACUGAGCCACAUCCCCAGCCCUUUUUUAUAUUUUAUUUAGAGAGUGGGUCUCACUGAGUUGCUUAGCACCUCACUAUUACUGAGGCUGGCUUUGAACUUGCUAUUCUCCUGCCUCAGCUUCUUGAGCAGCUGGGAUUAUAGGCAUGUGCCACUGUGCCCGGCAGCAUAUUUCUUUAAGUGACCCAAUGUAAAACCCAAGUGAUGAUCUGGAAGAUGGUACACCACCCCCAUAGUACUCAGCCAAUGAGGAGCAUGGGGGAGGGUUAGGGGACCUUGUGUACAAGAGGGUAAAAUGCUGAUCAUAACUGCUCUGGGUGUGCCUGCUCCCCCAGACGUUCCAUCUUGCAAGCCUGUCAGUAAAAGCUACGCUUUCUCUGUACCUUUGUCUCUCAGUAUGUUAGGGGACAGGUAGAUGACAAUUGUGGGAACACAAGGUUUAGAGAAUAGUUUUAUAAAAUGGGCCCACUGUGCUGACCCCAACAUGCUUUCUUUGCCAAAAAGCAAUUUAUCUGCAAACCUUGCCUGGCCUUAAGUGGACAGGAUAUGUAACAUUCCUCAGCAAACUACCUGUUAGCUUCAGGAGAAAUGCAGGCAAAAACAACCUAAGAGGAACCCAGAUUACUUUGGAGGGAGAGACUUUUGUGACUCUUUUCACAAAAGACCAGAUUUUGGAAGAUAAGGAUAAUUCUUUGGUUAAGAAUCCAGUUAUGACUACUUAGAAUGGGCCAAGGUGACAUAGAGUUGCCAUGACAGUGGAGACUUGAAAGUCUGAUGACACCCUGCAGUCAGUCAAAAGUCAAGAGGUGAACCUGGGCAGGACUCUCUGGAAACUUUUCCGGAACCCCAGUAAAGUUGGAAUGCAGGAGAGGCAACUGUCCCUCUCUUUUCUCAGAGGACUCUCUACCUUGAAAGUAUCCCCUUCCUCCUUUUCUAUCCCUUCAACUAGCUCAUGUCUAUUACUGGGUGACAUGUCUGAACUCUUUCUUGCAUGGGCUCUCUCUUGUCCAACGAGGAGGUCCACGGAACAGGGUAGAGGAGAAUGUGGCUGUAGAGUAGUGAUUCAAGACCCCUGGAGACCAAGCAGGAAGCAGGUCUGAUUUUAAUGCAUAUUUGCCAUGUACAUAGACUCGAGCUACUAUAGCUCAGCAGAUUAUAGGCAGCCACCAACACAAUUCUUUGCCAACUGUCCUUGCGGCAACCAAUCAAGGAGGGGGGGCAGGGAGCAAGCACUGUCCUACGUGUAUAGUCCUACGCCCAGGGCUAUGCUUACCGGGUGAGUGGCCUGCUGCUCCUGUGCCUAGCAUGAAGGGAGCGGGCUGCCACUCAGGUGCCCUUAACGUAUGCCACUAUGCAGUACUCUGUGGACUUGUCCCCCACUUUCUGACUUGAUUGCAAGAAUCCGGGUUUGAAGGGGUUCUUAAGACUGCCUGAGUUUCUUGGAAGUUCCUAUGUCUAUAACAAGUCCAUUCUUUGGGUUUGGACAAGUGAGCAUAUUUCUCACACAUGGUAACUCAUCACUAGGACAGUACAUAAAAAACUGAAAAAAAAAUCAUUGAAGAAAUUCUAUGUUAGCAAAUAAUGAAAAAACAAAAACAAAUAGAGCAGUAGCCUGGUAUGUUGGUACAAACCAUGGCAGGAGGAUCAAAAAUUCUAGGCCAGGCUCAGAAACUUUAUCUCACCCUCUCUCAAUAUAAAACUUUAAAAGGAGCAGUGGAUGUCGUUCAGUGUUAAGAGCUCAAUUCCCAGUAAAAUACAAACACACACAGUGGAGAGCAAUAGGAAAACAAAAAAGACAUGGGGAAAUAGAAGGAUGUAAAAGGGCAGACCUAAACUUCACUACAUCAUCAGUGACAUUAAAUGUGAAUGAAUGAACGACCCUGUCCCAAGUAGAGGUCAUCAGACAGUGAAAACGAGGCCCACUUCUGUGCUAUCAUCUACAGGGGUCACUGUUGGGAGCAAAUGUAUAAGGAGACUGAGAACAAAAGGGUGUGAACCAUCCACCAUGCAGACAGGCAGAGGAGUGAGCUGUACUAUAGCACCUCUCCUAACAUCAGGCAAGAUAGUUCAAAACUAAAAAUGUACUGAUAGAUAACCAGCUGUGAGGCUUAGAAAGGUGAGGUUAAGGAGUUACCAAAAACUCCAUCCUCGUCCCCAAUGUCAAUCCAGUAAUGAGGACAUGAAAGGUCAUGAUUGGGGCAAGUUGUUUUUCCUUUUGUUGUGGAAACCCUCAAGAACACGGAACUAUCUAACUGCAAUCUUCUCUUUCUGUAACUGGGGUAACUGGGCUCAUUUUGAUUGGCUAAGCCUCUGGCCACCUGGCUGCAAUCUCCUGCUUCUGUAACUUGCCUUGCUUGCAUUGGCUAACCCCCCUAACGUCCCUUUGUGGGUUUUUGGCUUAAAUAUGACGCCAAACUGAAGGGGGCAUGCCACUCUGACUAACUCGCUUUUAGAGAGUAGAGUGUCUGCCGAUGGCCAGCAAUAAAGGUUUAAUUAGAAUGGCAAUGUGUGGUCUGAGAGUUAUUUGAGGGUCUCGGUAUCAGUAUAACAAUCCUUUACCAUUGAGCUACCUCCUCAGCUACCUCCCCCUUUUUUUGACAUGGGUUAUUAGAAAUAGCGGGGUACCACAAGGAAUUAAACAUGUGCUUAGAAGUAUCUGGACAAGGCAAAAUUUACUUCUGCUGAAGGGUGUGCUUCCAAAGAAAAUCCAGCCAGCAAGUGUGCCUGGGUGGGCAGUCCAUCUGCUUUUAUUCCUAACACAGUGCUCCUCCUUGCCCUGAUAAGAACUUGGGAUCACAAUCUACAUGACUGGUUAAUUUUAAAAUUGGGGUGGCAAAAGGGAAGGGCUAUAGUUAAAAUGGCUACAAGUGGAUCUUACAUCCCAAUUAAGGCAAAAUACUACAUUUUGAAAAUGCACCACCAAACUUUCUAAUCCUCACAGGGUCUUGACAAAUUUCUAAAGCUUGACUGUAAUUUUCAAUGCUUCUGCAUCAGCCUCCCAAAUUGUUGAGAAUACAGGAAUGCACAACUGUGCCUAGCUAAAAAUGAGUUUGUAUGAUAUUACCUGUAGUACUUUUCAUUUAUGAUACUGUUGUGAUAGUAGGAGCAAAUAUGACUCCAUUUUGUUUUAUGACUUCAUCCUGUAAAACAACCAUGCCAAGUAGAAGAGUCAUGACUGGGGCAAGAUGUUCUUUUCCUUUUGCUAUAGAAACCUCUAAGAACACGGAACUACCUAACGGGGUAUUGUUUCUGUAACUAGGGUAAUGGGGCUCUGUUUCUGUAACUGGGGUGACUGGGCUAACUGUGAUUGGUUAGGCUUCCCUCCGCUUGACUGCACUGUCCCGCUUCUGUAACCUGGCUUGCUUGCAUUGGUUAGACCCCCUGAACAUCCCUUUUGCAGUUUUCAGGCUUAUAAGGAGUGCCCUUGCAAUUGUUCGGGGCUGAUCAGGGGAACAGCUUUAUGUUCUGGUCAGCCGCCACCGGUGUGCUUCAAUAAAGGCUUGAUUUGAUUAUACGUGAGUGGUCUGGAAGUCAGUUUACGAAACCCUGGGACGAAGCUUUAACUAUAACACUGUAUCUGCACAAACUACCUUGGUUUUAUUUUUCUAGUCAACAAAGUCCUUUAAUGACUUCUUGAAAUGUCCCUCAAAACUAUUAAAUGAUUCUUGUGCUAUAUCUGAUGUCCAAAGUCUAGUUUGUUUCAAUUAAAUGUAAAACCUUAUUCACUAGAAAAAUAAUUAUUUCUUUUGGCAGUAAAUGUAGAUCUAAAAUGUCAUUGUACCUUUUUUCCCCUUCAGGAUUUAUAUAAUUUUAAAUGUCUUUAUAUUUUCUGCAUUAAGUUACUAAAGGGCUAAGGAAAGUAUUAAAGAUUGUCCCUGUUCAUGUGCCUGUGGCGACCUUGAUGGAACCAUCUACUAAAGGCUGCCUUCUCAGUGGGUUGGGCUCACUGGCUGACUUUAGAGCACUGAGUCAUUCACCUAUCUCAAGGUUGUCACUUCCUAGCUUCAGGGGUCUGGCCAGUCUUGGGGGGAUCAGUAUGUCCCUCGGGCUGUUGUUAGAACAGAGAUGCCUUUGCUGUAACUGGUAUUAAGGAGCCCCACUGGGAAUCAGACUUUGGAGUUUUACCCACUGCAAAGGUUAAUUUGAACUGUCAACUUGAUUAGAUUAAGAGAUGCCAGGGAUUAAGAGCAUUAUUGGUAUGUCAAGAGGGUGUGUCUAGGAACGAUUGCAUGUGGGAUAGCCAACUGAAAUGGGUAGCAUCGUACAGUGGGCUGGAGGCUUGGAUGGAAUAAAAGUUGGAAGAACAAGGACGCAGCCGCAGAUGCAAGCUCAACUCUUGAACAGGUUCUUGAUUGCUGCUGUCUGAGGAUAUUGGACUCUCGCUCUUCCAAAGCAGAUUUUGUCAGUGGUUCUUCAGAAGCCUUUGGUCUCAGACCAGGGCAGCACCUCGUCCCUCUUGUGCUGGGGCUUCAGCCUCUUGGACUGCACACCUACUGGUUCUUCCACCUGCAGAUGACCAUCGUGGACUAUCCAGCUUCUGGUCGAGAAAGCCAACCUAAUAAGUCCCCCUUUUAUAAUUAUACUUCCUGUUGAAUCUGUCCCUCUAGAGAACCCUAACAAACCCAUAGAGAGGAUGCUCUGCCCAGGACUGCCUAAUGUGGACCUAAAAGCUACUCCCCAGCUAUAUGACUGAUUUUUUUUUUUUUUUUUUGUACCAGGGAUUGAACCCAGGGGCACUUAACCACUGAGCCACAUCCCCCAAUCUUUUAUGGAGAUGGGAUUUCACUAAGUUGCUUAGGAACUAAGUCGUUGAGGCUGGCUUUGAACUAAUGAUCCUCCUGCCUCAGUCUCCUGAGUUUCAAGGAUUAUAGGUGUGCACCUCCAAGCACAGCUCCUUGAAAGAUUUUUAAGGUUUUCUAGAUGUCUCUUCUUUCAAUAACUAGGCUUAAAAAGUAAGUAUAGGACUUAAAUAACUGGUUCAAAGCAAAGUUCUUCAACCCCCAGGCUGCAAAGACCCCCAGUGUAUUGUUUUCCAGUUCCAAAGACAGAAGUUGGAGGGCUGGACCCGAGGGUUUGGACUGUUAAUGAGACAGGGAUUUAGGGUGUAUAGAGAGAUAUUGAGUCUUGAAGGAAACACCCAUGAGCCACUGAGACAAAGAAAGCACAGUGGGAAACGUCGAAGGACAUGCACUGGCCCAUACCCUUGUAAAACAAGGAAAUGCACUGGCAUGGACUUGUACAGCUCCACCUGCCUCUGCCUCUUGUCCAGCCCCAAGCACCAGCCCCCUAUACAUAUGAACACCUGUACCAAUAGGUUGGUGUCUCUCCCUCUGCAGAGCCUGCCCUCUCCCUCGGGGGGAAGGUUCCUUGCUUUACCCAAAGACAUCUCUCCUUUGAGACUGAGGCUGUUCUUCCUUGAAGAGCACUUGCUUUCUUAAAGACACCUCCAUUUACACCUUGGACUGGUGUGUGCUUAAAUUCUUUUCCAUCCUGGGGUCCUGAGUCACCCGCCCCAUCUCUCUGGGAGCUCCUCAAACAUUUUCUGAAGACAUCUCUUCUCCCAACAUAACUCUGGCUCGCUUUAUGAAUAAAGUCCUUGCUGCUCUGCCACCAUGACUUACUCAGGAAAACAGGAUUACCUUUCCUCCCCAUUCUAGACACACCCACCACAGGGGAACAAGUAAUUCAGACUUGGGGAGGCACCAGAUGAUCUCAGAAAGGACUCUCAUAUUAACAAGUGAAUUGCAACUCUAGACAGAACACCUGGAAUUUAGCUUCUGAAUCACCUCUUUAAUAGGCCCCUGCUCCCCUUCUGAUGGGCAGAAUCACAGCCUCUGUGCUGCUCCUUUGCUAUUAGAGCAAUAAAAUUUUUUUCGUUUUCUCAAAGCCGUGUCCCAGUUAUUGGAUUGGCACGGGGACAAGGAUUGCGCUUUUGGUAACACCACCACAUUGAUUUAGGUACUUCUGGGGCGGCAGGCCAGGACAAAACAGAGGGCUACACAGCAUCCACAGGAAGGGGAACCCCCAGGAUGGGCUGCAUGUCCAUGGACAGGUGGGUUUCUGCAGAUGUUGAGAAUAUUCCUUCAUUUUACAACCAAGUUGCUCUGUGAUGACGAUCCCCUAAAGCCUGAAGAUAAGGCUAAGUGGCCGGCUCCCGCCACUUUCUUCUCACAUUCCUUGGAGUCAUCACACCUUCCUGGCAAUGAUAGAGUUUGCCCCCCAAAUGUAAACUGUACGUCAGAACACACCUAUUUUGUACAAAUGAACAUAACUGGCAUGGAAAUUUCUGGGGGAAAGUUGUUG
rnacentral:lncRNA from 1 species